GAUGAAGAACGUAGCGAAAUGCGAUACUUGGUGUGAAUUGCAGAAUCCCGUGAACCAUCGAGUCUUUGAACGCAAGUUGCGCCCGAAGCCAUCAGGUUGAGGGCACGUCUGCCUGGGCGUCACAUAUCGUUGCUCGAUGCCUAUCGCAUUGCGAUAGGACUUAGGGCGAAUGAUGGCUUCCCGUGAGCGUUGUUGCCUCGCGGUUGGUUGAAAAUCGAGUCCUUGGUAGGGUGUGCCAUGAUAGAUGGUGGUCGAGUUAGCAGGAGACCGAUCAUGUGCAUGCUCCCCAAAAUAUGGCCUCUGUGACCCACACGCGUCUUUUGACGCUCAUGACGAGACCUCAGGUCAGGCGGGGCUACCCGCUGAAUUUAAGCAUAUCAAUAAGCGGAGGA
rnacentral:misc_RNA from 1 species